UCCAGGUUGCCUUGCUUCAGCUCUUCAAAGUAGCUAUUGGCUCGUCUGCGCCGCGUCAACAUCUGAGUGGCCUCCCCCUCGCUCAGGAACACUGACAAUGGCCAAAGGACGACAUUGUAAAAGGCGGAAGAAGGUCAACAUGCUAAACACACAACAGGAAGUGACCAUGAACUCUCCAUACCGUGAGCGCUGGCCGUAGAGAUCAGCAGCACGCCGAGACACCCAAGUCCACCCAAACAUAACAUGGCGCCCGGUGGUCAGAUGUCAACAGUGUUUGCACCUGACAUCUCCUUGGUCCUUCGAGCCGGAUCCCAACACGUCUGACGAUUCCGGCCUGGUGAGUAAAACCAGAAGACCAUGGCACCCACAUCUCCCAUUGAGGAGCUGCUUUUUCUGCACCCGGGCUGGAUCUGACGACUGACGGGGAACCGAGGACAAGAGGAAGGAACGCAGAUUUCAGUGAGUAUGUUUUGAAUUACAAAGGAAAAAUAGCGUGUGACUGAGGGUUACGACGCAUAGAAGAAGAAAAAAGCGUGUGACUAAGGGUUACGACGCAAAAACAAACCCUGUAAAUCCUAGGCUCUAACAGGUAAAAAGGCCUAAGAAUCAGAAGGACGUCGGAGUCCGCAAAGAAUGAAACUUCCGUAAGAUUCAGCAUUGAAAAUAAGCCAAAUUAAGGACAUCGGAGUCCACGUAAAAACCGACAAUUCUAAAACAGAAGAGGCCACAGAAGGACGUCGGAGUCCACAAGUACUGAAACUUCCGUAAAACAAGUGUGAAAGGUAUGAACGUGAGAGUGUGUGGGAGUGAUCGCCACUAGGCUAUCACUCCAUACUAAAGUUGUGAGAAGUAAUGGUGGGUUAUUGUGGAGGCAUCAGGCAAGACAUCUCCACUGGGGGAAAAACCUCCAGUAGAAGUGACGUGUACCACAAUAAUAAAUUGAACCACUAUCUUACAACAAAGAAAAAGUAAUCCUUAUAAGUUCGGCUCUGUAGGGGACGACGGAUUACUCCAAAUUCUCAAAAUGUGAAAAGGGACAAGUAAACCAAAGGUUAGUCCAAAAGACGAGUUAAAAUGUAAAGACUGGAAAGCAGUAGAAAAAACAAAUCCAGACUUAUUAAAAUUUAUCGAUCUCAAAACAUGAAUUUACUGGACGCCUCAAAGUAGGUGAUAUAUUUAAACUGCGGGAAUAAAUAAUACAAAAAUGCAGAAAUAACAAAAAGAAACUGGCCAGAAUGGGGUGGGAACACUUGGAGUGCUGGAUGAGGAUGGCUCAAAGUGCUAAGGAGCAGCAAGAAAGGGAAAAAAAAGGAAAAGAGGACAAAGAAAGGGCUAAGAGAGACAGGCCCAGUUAGGAGAAGAGAUAGGCAAAUUGUAAGGGAAGAUAGUGAAGAAAAGUACAGACAGAAGCCGCGACAGCCAGCGCUCCAACAAUAACAAAACGUAGAUCAGCGUUAAACAAAUUUUAAAAAAUCCACCGCCAUACAAUGAAAGUGUAUCGAAACAACCAACAGUAAGAUCAAAAAGGGACCCAAAAAACAAACAAAAAAAAAACGCAGACCUGAAAUGGAAAAAGAUAACGACAACAAAAGCAGUUACACCCUGCUGCAUGUUGGCGUUGUGUCAGAGAAGGACAUUUAGCAUGAGACUGUCCUGAGAAAAAAUAAAUUAACAAUCAAGGUUACUCAGCAUGACUAGGUCAGGAGACAUCCAAAUCUCUAAAGACCACACCAAAAGACAAAGAAAAUGAUCAGAGUGAACAUAAGACAUACUAAGUUAUGAGAACUUAAGUGAAAAAACAGCGAGUAAACCAGAAAUAAUAAUUGAAAUAAAUGGCAAAGAAAUCACAUUUCUAUGAGACACCGGAGCAUGUAGAAUUACAUGUAUAGAAUAAAACUAAGUGAAAUACAAAAUAUUGGACACUGGCAGGUGAAAGAUUCCAAAAAGACGAUAGAGGUGAAAGAAAUGUUUAAAAAUAGAUGAAGAGGAGAAAAAAUCUCAAAGUGCUAACAUGAGAUAAAAGUAAAAAUAAGAUGAACAAAUGGGAAGAAAUCAAGAAGAAUUAAUGCAAAAUGGAAUAAACUAAUGCGAACGAGAGAUAAUGGGGGAUAUUGAAAUAAGAUAUGAAGAAAAUGUAGAUUGAAGAUAUACAUGUAUGUUUGGAUAUAUAAAUAGCGCUUUUAUAUAUACAAAUAUAUAUGUAUAUAUAUAUCUAUAAUUAAAAUAAUGGAACAAAUAAAAACCUAGAUUAAUAACUAUAAUAAGAGUCGAUAUGUAUAGCAUGAUAAAAUGAUAUAAAAUAAGUUACAUGUUUAGAGGCUGAGGAAAAAAAAAAGAAAAAGAAAAACGCUCUUCGAGUGUGUUCGCCUUAUCUCUUAGAAUGUGCACUCACGCACACACAUAACCUUGUGUGUGUGUGUGUGUGUGUGUGUGUGUGUGUGUGUGUGUGUGUGUGUGUGUGUGUGUGUGUGUGUG